CGUAAUUAAUUGCAUAAAACGUAAUCAACCUGGUCGUGGAGGUGGCGCAGGGACGUAACGAAAUCGAGGACCGAUUUGCAUAUUUGCGUUCCGCGUGGAUCGCGUGCUACGCGAUGCGUCGACAGUGAGAAGAGAGAGGAGAGAUUUCUCAAUCGAAGCGGGGCGUAUCGCGCGAGGACGACAAGAGGCUUGAAAAUCCCAAGCAUUGACAGGAUAAUUACACGCACGUAGGCCGGCCGGUUGUCUGGUUCGUCCCGUUCGUUUCAUUUCGUUCGUCUGUCAGCCGUGGAGAACGAAAAGGUGGAGUGAACGAUGAGGCGAGAGAAGAAGAAGAAGAAGAAGAAGAGAAAGAAGAAGAAGAAGAGAAAGAAGAAGAAGAAGACGAGAGCCUCUUACUACUUUUUGCCUCAUCUCGAACGAGAUUCACGACAGCCUGCUACCUGACGGAUUAACGGAUUGCCAGCUAUUAUUAUCCUCUGACAGGAACACCGUCGAUGUCUUAAGCAGCUCGCGGUACCUUGAACACGAGUAUGCGUGGGCGAGCUGAAAGAUCAUCAGGGAAAGUGAAAGCAUCGAACGUGGGACACAUAAAAAUACGCGUGUCCGACCGAUUUUUAAGCCUCGAUUCGCUCCUGUGGUCUUGUUACAGCGAAGUAAUCGGUGAUUAACGAUGACAAUGCAUUACUUUGCACUCUGGACGUUACUUAAAUUGGUAUUUUACAUUGUGAAUUUGGAUUUUUAAUUUUAGUACAUUGCGAAAAAUAUUGAAGGAAUUUUUUUUUUUAAAUUUGGAAAUAUUCAUCGUAUUGGAUUAAUUAUAUUGUGCAAUUUUUGUAAUUAAUAAUAUGAAUGAAAAUCUCAAAUUGAGUAUAGAGUGAUUUUAUG